UAUUAUUAUCAAGGCGGAGCCAUGAAAUAAAGUUGGGGUGAGCUGCUCAAGAAAAGAAAUUUGAGGGAGUGUUGCCCCGGAAAUUUUUUUUAGGUCCAUUUGCAAUACAUGUAAUGUAACGGCUACUUGCUUUCUCUGUAAUAUACAACAUCAAUUAGAAAAACGAGUUUAAAUAAGCACCGACUUGAGAAACACAGGAUUGCCCAGUGCAGUCCCCUUCCCUCUGCUCCUGAUUAUUGCGCUGCAAGCCUGCAAUGAGUUGUUCUUAAGAAAAAUUACAAUCAGGUAAUUAUACAAAUUUCCUUUGGAUAAUUGUUAGGGAAAACGCACACGUGUGAAUGACCCUGCAGUGUCCGUAUAACAUUCUCCAAUUCCAACCAGACAAAAUCAAAACAGAAUCUCGUAUUCUUUGUAAAGAGAGAGAGAGUGAGCGAUCCCCAGAUAUGCGUACCAUAGCGGUGGGAAGCAGCAGUGUCCACAUCCUCUCCUCUCUCCCUCUAUUUCAAGAACCAGCACUCUUUUCUCUCUUCUACGUUCCCCAUCAAUCCUCACUCUUCAAAUCAGAACUGGAAUUGCAUGCAUAUCAAAUGUUGCGGUUUAGGAGAAAUUUAGGCGUAAGGGGAUAGCCAAAAAGCUCAUAGCAAACGCAGAGGCGCAAGCCAGGAGUUGGGGCUGUCGUGCCGUUGCAUUACACUGUGAUCAUAACAAUCCAGCGCCCACAAAGCUGUAUGUAUUAAGUUGCCAGAAGGAGCAAACUGGCCUAAGCCCAAGACAUCUCCAGAUGUUGAGUUCAACUUCAUGAUGAAACUUCUCAACUUCCCUACCAGGGUGUAGAUGUUUCAGGAACGCACGGUUGAUUAAGAAAGUUCAUGUGCAAGAAAAAGAAAAAAGGAGAAUUGUUACA